GAAACCUACGGGACGCAGCAGUGGGGAAUAUUGCACAAUGGGCGAAAGCCUGAUGCAGCGACGCCGCGUGAGUGAAGAAGUAUUUCGGUAUGUAAAGCUCUCUCAGCAGGGAAGAAAAUGACGGUACCUGACUAAGAAGCCCCGGCUAACUAAGUGCCAGCAGCCGCGGUAAUACGUAGGGGGCAAGCGUUAUCCGGAUUUACUGGGUGUAAAGGGUGCGUAGACGGCGAA
rnacentral:rRNA from 1 species